rnacentral:rRNA from 1 species
UGCAGUCGAGCGGACAGAUGGGAGCUUGCUCCCUGAUGUUAGCGGCGGACGGGUGAGUAACACGUGGGUAACCUGCCUGUAAGACUGGGAUAACUCCGGGAAACCGGGGCUAAUACCGGAUGCUUGUUUGAACCGCAUGGUUCAAACAUAAAAGGUGGCUUCGGCUACCACUUACAGAUGGACCCGCGGCGCAUUAGCUAGUUGGUGAGGUAAUGGCUCACCAAGGCGACGAUGCGUAGCCGACCUGAGAGGGUGAUCGGCCACACUGGGACUGAGACACGGCCCAGACUCCUACGGGAGGCAGCAGUAGGGAAUCUUCCGCAAUGGACGAAAGUCUGACGGAGCAACGCCGCGUGAGUGAUGAAGGUUUUCGGAUCGUAAAGCUCUGUUGUUAGGGAAGAACAAGUACCGUUCGAAUAGGGCGGUACCUUGACGGUACCUAACCAGAAAGCCACGGCUAACUACGUGCCAGCAGCCGCGGUAAUACGUAGGUGGCAAGCGUUGUCCGGAAUUAUUGGGCGUAAAGGGCUCGCAGGCGGUUUCUUAAGUCUGAUGUGAAAGCCCCCGGCUCAACCGGGGAGGGUCAUUGGAAACUGGGGAACUUGAGUGCAGAAGAGGAGAGUGGAAUUCCACGUGUAGCGGUGAAAUGCGUAGAGAUGUGGAGGAACACCAGUGGCGAAGGCGACUCUCUGGUCUGUAACUGACGCUGAGGAGCGAAAGCGUGGGGAGCGAACAGGAUUAAAUACCCUGGUAGUCCACGCCGUAAACGAUGAGUGCUAAGUGUUA